GCUGUCUGUUAUAAUGAAAGUUUGAUAUUUUUGUGUUUAUCAUCCAGUGUAAGAAAUAAGGACCAGCAGAAAUGAACAUAUGAACACAGAGUGUUUUGCAACUGGGAGAAUUUUGAUUGAAGUGGAGAAAGGGACAAGUCCCUAGACAUUUUAGGUUUCAGGGACACUUCUUCUCAGAUUUCACACAGCACUCCACUGCUGCCCUCUCCUCUUGCCCCUUGGUCCACCCUAGGAAGACAUGGUGACCACUUACUGCUCCUUCUUUUGUUAGAGAUUAAAGAGUAAUUGUGUCACAGCUUGAUUUGACUGACAUGGAAAUGCCUGGUGACCAUUCAAGUGGCAGUAGCCUACAUUUUUGUUGUUGUUGGUUUCGAUAUAAAGGCAACAAUGAACUGGAUUCUCUAUUUUCAGCACAACCAGUGCAGCGAUUCCACAUCUUGGGUUCUAGAGAUGGAGAGUAGGCCCGGAAAAGCGAGGCACCUGUGACAGAAGGAGCCUGAGGGUUGCUAAUCAGCUCCACAUGCAGAUUCACCUUCUGGACUUCAGAAUGCUUCUUUGAAGACCUGUAGCCAUGAACUCUGAUUCCUUUCUAAAAUAUGAAAACAAAUAAAUACAAUUUCUUUCAGGAGGCGCCAUCAGAUAAUUUAGACCUCAAGUUGACCUGACUUUUAAAGGUGAUUUGUAAAGUACAUUGAUUUCUCAAGUGCAGUUGUUUUCAUUAUUCUGGAUGGAUUUUCAUUAAAACAACAAAUUCUCAGCUUCUUUCAAAGGGGCAGAUAUUUGAGAUGGUGGCAAUUCCCAGAAAAUUCGUCAAGAAUGAAAGUUGAAUCACAUGCUACAGAGAGGUGAACGUUGGUUAAAAGCAAGUAAAUAUUAUUAGCAGCUGGACA
rnacentral:lncRNA from 1 species